UAUUGCUAGUCCUGUUUCUAAUCGACUUUACUUGUGUAUUUUAAGCUUUUUUGUUGCUGUGCUUUUUCUGGAGAUUUUAUUUGGAUUGGAAAGCUCCUGUGUAAGGUACCCUUUCCUAAAGAAAAAUUGAAGUAAUUUGUACAAUUAUAACGCGCCGAGCUGUGUUUUAUUUUAUUGUUUCUAAGAAGAUGUAAGAAUACAAUAUUAUCAAUUUUAAUUGGUUUUAUCCAAAUCAAGAUUGUGUACAAUGGGAGUGAGUGAUGUAAUCUUCUAAUGCGUGUGGUGAAAAGAAGGCGAAUCCGUUAUUGUUUUUCUGCCCAAAUUUGAAGCUAUUUAAUAAAUCUUGAUAAAGUUAAAAAACUGUUUUGA